rnacentral:lncRNA from 10 species
AGUAGCAGAAGAUACGUCAACCUGAUUUCAAACUCUCCAAGCCACGAUGAAAAGCUAAUCAUCUGUGAUGGUCACAGUAACUUCUUUCCACUGCCUUCCCAGUAAAAGAAAACCACACAUUAUACCACAAACUGAUACUACUGACAACUCAUUCUUUUAUUAAUUCAGCACCUACUGUGUAUAAAACAUUCUUUCUAAUUAUGGGAGGUGGGGAGAAAGUUUAAUGAUGAAUAAGACACAAUCUCUAUCCCAAAGGAAUUUAUAAUCCAACACAAAUAUGUUGUAUUUUCAAUAUCAUAAUUUAUAUUUAAUAUCUAAUAAUGGAAUUAUUUCUCUACCUUUCUUUCUUUUUAUACAUCCAAUAGUGUAAAAAGCUUCAGAUGAAUGGUUCAAAAGCUUAAGUCUUCCGACUGGCUCUGCUGUUGACCAGCUUGUUUGGACUAGCUAAGUACCUGGAAUUUCCCUUGAAGGAACUCAAGAUUUUCUUUUAUUUCCUGGCUCCCUGGGGAGGGCGUGCGGGGGUAGGGGAAAAGCAGGCCCCUAAGAGGAGUCUCGACUCCAUCCCAAUGGCCCAGCCUUUGUUGCUUUGCUCUUGCCUUUCCUUGCAAGAUACAUGAAGCCAGAUACAUGACCUAGAACUUCUUUGUCCAAUAUAGUAGCCAUUAGUCAUGUGUGGCUAUUGAGUUCUUAAAAUGUGGCUAGUCCAAGUUGAGAUAUUCUGUAAGUGGGAAAUACAAAGUGGAUUUCUAAGAAUGUAAAUACCUCUUUAAUGUUUUCAUAUUUAUUUCAUGUUGUAAUGGG